rnacentral:rRNA from 1 species
AACGAACGCUGGCGGCAUGCCUAACACAUGCAAGUCGAACGAGACCUUCGGGUCUAUGUGCGCACGGGGGCGUAACGCGUGGGAACCUACACUUAGGUUCCGAAUAACUCCCCUAAGGGGGUGCUAAGACCGCUUAAUGUCUUCCGACCAAAGAUGUCUUGCCUUUGGGUGGGGCCGCGUUGGAUUAGCUGGUUGGUAGUGUAAAAGCCUACCAAGGCGACGAUCCAUAGCUGGUGUGAGAGGAUGAUCAGCCACACUGGGACUGCGACACGGACCAGAACGCUACGCAAGGCAGCAGUGGGGAAUAUUGGGCGAUGGGCGAUAGUGCGAUAAAGCAAUGCCGCGUGAGUGAUGAAGGCGGUAGGGUUGCACAGCCCUUUUAGCCGGGAUGAUAAUGACAGUAAUGGGAGAAUAAGCUCCGGCUAACUCCGUG